CUUCGAUCUCAUCACCUUCUUUCCCCUCCCACCCCUCUUUUUGAUCCCCGCUUUGGGGCUUGCAAAUUUUUGACAUGUCAAAUGAGAGUGAAGCUAAAAUGUAAACAACAAGUGUUCGCGUGUGCCGUGAUUUUAAUAAACAUAAAAUCAACCAAGGAAGUAUGAUUUAGUUGUGGUGGAAGCGAAAAAAAUGCUUGGAGCAUGGAAUAAAACCGGAUGAAAUUUCUAGCCUUCACGCACGAUGCCGACGCUGAGGUAAGGUGUGCUUGUGUUUAAUUUCGAUGAUUGUUUCAUUUUAGGGUGUGCUCCACAGCUAGUAGCUCCCACAUUCGAACCGCUCAUGGUAACCUGCAAUUAUGUUAUUUUUAGUUUUUCAUUUAGUUUCAAUGUAAAGUAAUAGUUGAAAAACAUACAAUUUGAUUUCAUCCAACUUACAGGUUUUACAGGUGAACAACAAUUAGCAACUCCCGAUCGAAUUGCACACAACAACCACCCACAAUCACAGCUGUAAAAAGUAACACGGAUAGGUAGCAAGGAAAUCAAGCUUGUACACUGAAAUCUACACAAAAACUGGGUUUUAUAAGCGCACGAAAAGCGACGCGGCUAUCUUUUAAUAAAA